rnacentral:rRNA from 1 species
GACGAACGCUGGCGGCGUGCUUAACACAUGCAAGUCGAACGGAAAGGCCCUGCUUGCAGGGUGCUCGCGUGGCGAACGGGUGAGUAACACGUGGGUGAUCUGCCCCUUACUUUGGGAUAAGCCUGGGAAACUGGGUCUAAUACUGGAUAGGACCAUGCUGUAGGCGGUGUGGUGGAUAGAUUAGUUUCGGUAAGGGAUGAGCUCGCGGCCUAUCAGCUUGUUGGUGGGGUAAUGGCCUACCAAGGCGUCGACGGGUAGCCGGCCUGAGAGGGUGGACGGCGACAUUGGGACUGAGAUACGGCCGAGACGCCUACGGGAGGCAGCAGUGGGGAAGAAUGCACAAUGGGGGCAAGCCGGAUGCAGCGACGCCGCGUGGGGGAUGACGGCCUUCGGGUUGUAAACUCCUUUCAGCCAUGACGAAGCCCUGGUGGUGACGGUAGUGGUAGAAGAAGCACCGGCUAACUACGUG